GACAGAGGUGGCAACAGUUGUUCGGAAUUACUGGGCGUAAAGCGUGUGUAGGCGGCUACGUAAGUUCGGAUGUGAAAGCCCCAGGCUCAACCUGGGAAGUGCACUCGAUACUGCGUAGCUUGAGUAUCGGAGAGGUUGGUGGAAUUCUCGGUGUAGAGGUGAAAUUCGUAGAUAUCGAGAGGAACACCGGUGGCGAAGGCGGCCGAACUGGACGAAUACUGACGCUGAGAACACGAAAGCGUGGGGAGCAAACAGG
rnacentral:rRNA from 1 species